AGACAAGGACGAGGCCUGGUGGCAGGAGCCAAUCGCGGCCCGGGAGCUGUUUUGUCCCGAGGUGGGCGUGGCCGACCCCCAGGUGCUGCGGGAACAGGUGGAGACCUGCUGGGAACUGCUGGAAUUGGAGCCGUGGAGCCGAGGCUGCCUCCUCACCCUAUCGCUGCUGCUCUCGGCGCUGGACCCCAUUGGCCACGCCCACGAGGCCCGGAGGCACCUGGAGAGCCUGAAGGAGGCCGACCCGCUGCGAUUGGGCUUCGCGGCCGACGCGGCCUCGCGAUUGGAGGCGGCGCUGGGGGUGCUGGGAUUGGGGGCGGGGCCGGGGCCGGUGUGGCUCCGCCUCCCCG